UACGUAGGGUGCGAGCGUUGUCCGGAUUUAUUGGGCGUAAAGAGCUCGUAGGCGGCUUGUUGCGUCGACUGUGAAAAACCACGUCUCAACCGUGGGACUGCAGUCGAUACGGGCAGGCUAGAGUUCGGUAGGGGAGACUGGAAUUCCUGGUGUAGCGGUGAAAUGCGCAGAUAUCAGGAGGAACACCGGUGGCGAAGGCGGGUCUCUGGGCCGAUACUGACGCUGAGGAGCGAAAGCGUGGGGAGCGAACAGG
rnacentral:rRNA from 1 species